UCGUAACAAAAUCUACAGUGAGGUUAGAGUUGCAGAAACCAGAGACGGCGGUCGAUCCAGAGAUUAAAACUUGGUUGCAGUGAGAGGUUGUUAUAGAGAGUAAUUAGUUAAAGGUUGGUGUUUAUUUCUUGAAGACAAAGCCAUGAGAAACCAGAAAAGGUGGUCGAAGAAAUCAGAGAUGACGGAAGAUCUAAAAAGAGAAGAAGGAGAUCGAUAUAAACCGUUGAUGAUGAGUCAUUUUUUGAGAAAGCUGAAGUUCCAAAGAGGAUUAGGAAGAAACAUGCAACAUCUACUUCAACUGUGGCUACGAAGAAGACUGCAACAUCUACUUCAACUGCUGCUGGAACAAAGAAGAAGAAGGCAGCAAAGAUUUCCAUUGGCAAUAUAAAGGUGAAGCAGAAUUUUACUGCAGGUUCAGGUAGUGGUGUUUGUGGAUUAUGGUGUUUCAACUGCUGCUGGAACAAAGAAGAAGAAGGCAGCAAAGAUUUCCAUUGGCAAUAUAAAGGUGAAGCAGAAUUUUACUGCAGGUUCAGGUAGUGGUGUUUGUGGAUUAUGGUGUUUGUUAGGCCUGCACAUUUGACAAUGUUUUGGGUGUUUCAUUUGUGGUGGUUUUUUGACGGUGGUAGUGAUGUUAAUUUGUCUCUUUUUAGAGACAACUUUUAGUGGGUAUGUUGCUAUUUUGAGAAGUGAAAAUGCUUUUACUGAUAGUCCUUGGAAUUGUUCGUUUUUCAUUUCUU